rnacentral:misc_RNA from 1 species
GAAGAUUUAAUCAUGUAAUAUUCUGAAAAAAAUACUUUACAACAAAAUGUAUCUAUAAAAAAAUACUUUAAAGCAACAGACAUCUCUCUGAAAAUGAAGAAGAACAAAUUGUUCACAAAGUUUCAGUAACAAAUUCUACUCUAAGAUCUCUCAAGUGAGCCAACCUGCCAAGCUGGCUAAGAAAAUUAUUUAAUUAUACUCUGCAUAUUCUUGGUGGAAAGUUAUUUUCUCAUCUGACAUGAUCGCCUGUUCCUAACACAAACUGCAAGUACAAGAUCCUGCAAGUACAAGAUCUAUCGGAAGAGAGAGAGGGAGGGAUUAUAUACAGAGAUCACUGAUAAUUUCUUUAAAAUUAGCAUCAUUCGUGUUCCAAUCAAUCAGGCACCUUCUGGACUCUCAACUUCAUAGUUCUUCUCUUAGAACUUGCUGUUACACCAUAUGAAAGUUUUAGCAUAAACUUUGUUGUUAAGUCAAUACAUCAAUAGCCCUACAAGUCUCGAUAUAUAAGUUUAUCCAGAGUAAUCCACAAGCCAAAAGUCCUACCCACUAUGUAUGCUGAAGUUUUACUGUAAUCAACGUGUUCUUAAAAGCUUUGGAGUCCACAUCCGGGCAAACCAACCACCUUCCUUGCCUUUCAAAUCUAUGUUUCUUCUUUUAUUUUUUUUUGUAUUGUCCCGUGAUGCUCCCACAGACAUGGUACUCCUGAAUGAUAGUUGAGGACUUGCGGUUUCUGAUGAUGCAUCCGCAAUUUGAUUCACCAUUUCCAACACUUCACUCAUCUUUGGACGUGACUUGGGGUUUCUGACUAAGCAUCGGUUGGCUAUACUUGUAAGCUUUUGGGCUGACCUUAGGGGGUAUUUUCCCUCAAGCCUUGGGUCCAAUAUAUGAGGAAAUCUUUUUGCAUCUGAUAGGUAUGGCCUUAUCCAUUCCAAGAGCUUCUGCUCACUCUUGGGUCGAUUUCGAUCCAAAGGGCGUCGACCUGUAAUAAGUUCAUAAAGGAAGACCCCAUAGCUCCACACAUCACUCUUGGAUGUGAGACGUCCAGUUUGGAGGUACUCAGGAGCUGCAUAUCCCAUGGUCCCCACAACCUGAUGGAAAUUACCAAUUGCAUGAAUACAAAUAGUUCAAAAAUACAUAUGGCAGAACAAUAGAAUGGCAAUUUAUGGUCCCACCAAUGUAGGACUAUAAGGAGGGAGAAUUUCAAUUUUCAAGAUUGUCUAUCCUUCAAUAGAUUAUGCUAUGGCUAGGUUUAAGGUUUGAAUAUGCAUCCUUGAGAAGGUUUAAUUUCAAUUUGAGUCCUUUUGUACACCAACAUGUUGAAGCGGGCACUAAUUAAAGAUAUUAAUACCAAGUGCUAGAGAGAUAAUAUUCCACAAGCAUACCGCAGUUGAAACAUGAGUCAAUCCUUCUGAAGGUCCCAACCUAGCCAAUCCAAAAUCUGACAGCUUAGCAUUCCACUGCUCAUCUAGAAGGAUAUUUGAGGAUUUGAAAUCCCUGAAGAUGAUCUGUGAAAUUUAUUAGAAAACAGGAAAAGAAAGAAAAAGUAAAUGAGAAAAAGAGGCCGUCAGUAUAAUGUAUAUGUAGCACACAUGCAAUACAAAUUUAAAAACUGUUAAGAGCUGCUUUGAAAUGACACCAUGUAGCGACACCUUAACCUGACUCCUUAGCCCCUUAAAGAGGUUCUUUCAACCUCCAGUUUUUCCCUAUUUCUUUUCCUCUCUUUGGGGAUGACGAAGGAGGGGGCAACAGGAAUGAAAUCUUGAAUGUAUGAAAUGCAUUGCAAGUGCGCUAACACAUCUGGAAUGCAUUGAAAUGGAAUGAAUGAUAGAGUACCUGAAAACCCAUUUCUUCAUGUAGGUAUGUUAAGCCACUGGCAGCAUCUUGGGCUAUUCUCAACCUCAUGGUCCAUGGAAGAGGCACCUCUGAUUGAGCGGAUAAAUGAUCCUUCACACUUCCAUUAGGCAUAAAUUCAUAUAUCAGAAGGCGUUGGAUUCCUCUUUCAUCAUCAUCAGCACAGUAUCCAACUAAUUUGACAAGGUUUGGAUGCUCAACGACCCCAAGAACAUUCACUUCUGUGACCCAUUCUUUGUGACCCUGCAUUCCUCUUUUACCAAGUUGUUUCACUGCAACUUCAAGCUUUUUAGUUGGGUCAUCUGUGCUCUUGAUAGACCCUCUAUAGACACAACCAAAUCCACCCUCCCCGAGCACGACAGAUCGGUUGAAAUUCUUGGUAGCUAACCUAAGUUCAGAAACUGUGAACACUCUGAGAUUGCUUUGUCUUUGAGACAUACUAGGAAAUGAGGGCCUCCCAAUGGAUUCUGCACUGGUGCCUGAGACAUUUUGGGAAUUCAAUCCCGACCUAGAUCUUCCAACUUCACGAUCAGUCAAUGUGGAAUUCACAGAUUGAACUGAGACAGACUUUGUAGUCUUUGGUUCGUGCUUUUUGUCUCCACCAUAAAAUGAGAAACACUUCAUACCCCUUCCCCCACAAAUUCACAUUCACCAAUUUCUUCACUGUUGACCCAGAGAUAAAAAGAACCUCAACAUAACAACAAAGUUAAAAAAGUUCAGGAAAUCAAGAGUAUGGAUUAGCAAUUUCCUCUGAGAAGAGAAUAUGAAAUUCUAGCAAAACAUAUAUUAAGCAUUUUACAAAUGCUAAUGUUAGUAAAAUUUGAGGACUAUCAUGUUAGUUUAAGAAACCAAGUGAUAUGAAUUAAAGAAGAAUUGAAUUAGAAAAGGAGAAGAAAAGGGAGAAACACAAAAGAAUAAGAAGAAGAUAGAAUUUCAAGGAGAAGAAGAAGACAAUCAGAGGGAGAGAAUCUCAUUUCAUCAAUCAAUAUUUCAGAAUGUGUAUCCAAUAUAAGAUCACACUUAUUAUGGCCUAUUACACAUGUAGAAUUGGUAACUAAUUCCUAACUAAUCUCCCGCAGGUGCAACAAACUGUAACAGCAAACCUGGUCUUCUCAAGAAUUGAAACUUGUAGAAACAGUAUCAUAUCACCAAGACGGUAGAUUUAUUGUUUGCAUUAAUAAGAACCCAAAAUUAACACUUAUUUAUUAAAUGUUCAUUGGAUUGUAAAAAUUUAAAUCUACCAAUGAUACAUGCAGACAAGAGAAAAGGCAAUGGGUUCCAGAUAAAGCUUCAAUUCUUAGCAAAAGUACUCAUUCUAUCCUGAACUAGAUUCAAUAAGCUAGUUGAUAUGCUCCAAGUUUCCCAAUUUUAUGCUAAUUGCCCAAAAUCACAAUAAUAACCCAUUGAGGGAGCAAACACACAUACAAACAUAAAAAGGAAUCAAUGAUUACGGGCUCAAUACAUCUGCUUUCUUCAAUCAUCCUUCUCAAAUUGUUUAAUUUCAUUAGGAACCCAAUUUCCAGAUACUAACUUUCUGAAUCCAAAUUCAUAUAAAAUGAGACCAAGAAAUUAAAACUUCACGAUCAUUCACCAAUCACCACAACAACAACCAUACAAGAAAGACCAUUAAAUAAAAAGCAUAAUGAGAUAAAAUUUGUGGUCUAGAUGGCAAACUCACCUUAAAUCUUGGCAGUCAGAUUUGCAGCAGCUUAAUUCCUGAACUUCACAAAAUCCACAAGUCCAAGAAGUUGGAUUUGCAGCAAGUUUUCCAAAACUUCACAAAAUUAAUACAACUCAGGAAUUUCUAAGACAAAACUUCCCUUUGGCCCAUACGCCACAAAAGACCUCAAAAAGCUAGAGAAGGACUAGCAUUUAAUGAUUUACAGGAAGUCCCUGCACGGCAG